AGCCGAGGUGGCUUUAUCGGAGACGAACUAGAUCGAUAAUCGUAACGUGACUGUUUGGAAUAUAUUUAUGUCUGUUAAAUAUGUCUUUACAACGUGACGACGAAUUCGCUCAGUGUUACGAACAAAUCGCCCAGGACAAUACGGCUUUCUUUCUAGAAAUGGUCCCUCAAACCACGGAAUGGAAAAUCGGGAUCAAUUAUGCUCUAGAAACUCUAGAUGCCACAGACGCUGUCUGCAUAUAAAAUUCUCGUCUUUGAUUCAGAAAUUUAUUAUAGUUAGCUCCACAAAUUAUGAUGAGAUUGACAUGCAAUCUUGUUAUACUUUGUCUGCUUGAUGUAGCGAUAUUUACGACGAUUAGCUGCAAUGAGUCAAGCAGUGCGUCAUUCAGUUUUAAAAAAGGUGUUUCGUGGUCCAACGCAGGAAGAGAAUGACGAAUAUUUCGCUACUUGGAAAUAUUGGAUUCAACCCAGC